GGUAUACUGGCAAAUGUGGCAGAAAAGGCUUUAAUAAAUUUAGCUAUGAUUACUAAGAUGAAAUCCUGUGCUUAUGCCUGCAGAGGCAUUUUAUUUUCAAAGAUAGUUCAUUCUUAGGAAAAAAAAAAAUAUAGGAGACAUUUUCUUUUCCUGAAAAAUAGGAUUAGCCCAAGGAAAAGAAUUUGCCAAAGACUAUGUUAAUUUAUUUGUUUUCAGACAGCAGUGUCAUUGCAUUGCCUGCUAUAUUUGCACAUCUUCGUUGUGUAUAUUCCAGGGGAUUUUGCACAAAGUAAAGCUGAGCUACUUGUGUAUUGUUGUUUUGGAAGUUCUGGGAAUGAGAACCCUGUAUGAAUGGGAAUUCUUUAGGACACUAGUGAAUAGUGUUAUUAUAUUCUGCAUUAAGAACUCAGCAAAAGUGUGCCACCCCAUCUGUAAUCCGCCCUAGUUUAGGCUGUGACUGCAGAAUGAAUAAGGACUGGAAUUAGCAAGUCAUUAAAAAUGAGUGGGGCUACCUGUUUGUGAACCUGCUUCAUUCCACUUACUCAAAAUCAAACCACUUGCAUCCCCCCAGUCUUAGUGCAGAAAACCAUGGAACAUAGAAAUAAAAACAUUUUUCUAACUCUUAAUGUUUUGUGUAGCAUAUGCUGUAGAUCUAAUACUGUGGGAUUGCUUCCUGGAAUAAUUCUUCAGUUCGGGGAGUUGCAGGAGCUCCCCAGCAAGGAGGUGAGGUACUCCAGCCAUAUGGGGCUGUGGUAAAACCAGGGAUCUUCAGGCUUCAGUGGGUUACUUCUGAUUUUUGUUCAGCAGAAAAUGUGGUCUCUCUGGCAUGAUUGUUCUCUCCAAGUAUCCCAGAAUGUUGAGGAGAACUUAGAAGCAGGAACUCUGACUGCUUUCAGUGUGCCCCCUGGAGUUACCAAAGUCUCUUCAGCAAUUGUAGGAAAACCCAAAAGACACCAGGUGGCUAUUAUUUGCAUAUUCCAACCUGUGUCCAGUCCUGCAAGGUGCCUGACUGCUGCAGAACAAGGUGCCAUAUAGGCUGAUAGCAAAGAGAAAGAGAGAAACUGGAGAAAAAGAGAGAAACCAGGCACUCCAGCACCAAGGAAUAUCUGCACAGGAUUUUGCAGGCCGGUCAUAUGAGAUAUAGCACAGGAGAGAAGGCUGAACUGUCCUCCCACACUGAACAAAGAAAUAUAAUCGAAGCAGGGAAUUAUGUUUCUAGAAACACAGGAAUAAAUGGAUUUGUGAGCACUGUGUUGCAACAAGUGGGCUCUAAGCCCCCAAAUUGUCCACUGGAGGUCAUGGACAACCUUGUACCUUGCUCACCAAGAAAAUUUUUGAACUUGCUAUCACUGACUUACAAAGACCUGCUCAAAUGAGCAGGAGAAAUAAUCCUGCUUUGAUGCAUGGUGAAAAUCCACACUGGUAUCAGGACCUGAGGGAAACAGAAUUCCUUUGGAUGCAACCAACUAUAUAACAGCUCAUACUUGGACUGCCUCUAUCAAAAGCCUCUCUUUUGCAGUGUUUUAAGGAUAAAAGAGAGGUCACACAAAUCAUAAAUGAUAACACACAAAAGUUUCUUAGAUAUAGGUUUUGUAUAUUGAAUAAUGUUGCCAUGAAGGCUGCACCAACUUUUAGCACCUUUGAUGAAAGGACGUGAAGAAUUGUUCUCUCUUCUCUGGCCUUUUUUUUUUUUUUCUGUUUUUUUUUUUUUUUUUUCAUACACACUCAAAAUUCUGGGUUUAUCUGUAAUGCUUUAAGAGGAGUAAAGUUCUCUGAACAGCUCGUUUCCUGGGGAUGCCAUAUGAUGGAUCAAAUUACCACUAUGACAAAAUUCUCUUCAUAAUGCAAAACUGCAUAGGAGCUGUGUUGGAUGACACAGUUAGAGGUUUAUUCAUUUGUUGCUAGUAUUACAGCUAUGAAGGUUAUACAUAACGCACAUUUUUUUCUAGGUUAUUUGGAAAUAUUCAAAGGUGGAAUAGAAAAGUGAAGUAAUCUUGCUGCUGAAGGAAGAAUGGAUGAAAAAGAGAAAAGUUGGAAAUCUGAAGGAAAAAUGACUAAGAUAUAAACAGAGUUUUUAAAGAUUAUUUUUCAGGGAUUAGAGGGAAAACAGCUGUUUCAAAAUCCGGGACACUCAUUAGAGUAUUUUGUCAGGAGUAAUGAAUAUCCAAGAAGUUACAGCAACUUUCUAAAUUAGACCAUGACAUAGUACAGGCUGUGGCUUGAAAGCUGUUUUCCAGAAAGACCACCAAGGGGAAGAUGCUAACAAGAGGCACUGUAGUAGAAUCAGAAACUUCUUUAUCCUACCUGAGUAUGCAGACAGCAUCACCAAACUUAAAAGGUGUUUUACACCCAGUUGUGCAAUAGACACAACAAAGCGCAGAGCUGCGCAGGCUCAGAAUAUCUUCUGUUAAAAAACUGUCCAUCUGUUAUCACGUACAAGAGAACCACAGUGAACAUAAACAAGGUAAAUACAUAGAAGUCUUCUGAAGAAAGAGGAUGCUAUAGCACCAGCUGUCAAAUAAGCUAUGUAGAAAAUGACUUCAUUUUAAGUAGUAUGGAUUAAAAUAUGAUGUGAAGUGUGUUGGAGUGACCACACAAUGGCUUUGAUUGCUUUGACUGACGAGUUGCAGUGAUAAAUAUUGCUAUGUGCUUGUCCAGUUGUUCUCACUUUUUGUCAUAAAACUGUCUUUCAUCAUGCAACCUGGUUUACACU